AUCAAGGACCUCAGUUGUCAUUUUUCAUUCAACUCUGAAUAGUUAAAAACUCUUCCAUGUGCUUUCGCUGUGUAGGAGAUGAGUCCAGAUUAUUAACUGUGAGUUUACACAUUCCUUAAGUGUGGCAAGUCUAACCCUUUGCUUGGCUUCGCAGUGCGGAUUGUGGAUUUUCUGAUUCUUCUCCCUUGCUAGUGAAGUCCAACCUUAGGAUAUCUGGAAUGAGAGCAUUUCUAUGUGUCCUGCUCUGUUGUUCAGUUUUAUUGUUGCUACGUGACAGUUGGAGAUCUGAGGUGCAGUCCUCUUCUGAUGCAGUGCAGAACACACACAGCAGCAGAAACCCGCAGCAGGGGCUCGCUGGAGUGAGAGUGGUGUCUCUCUCUCUGUCUUCACUGCUCUUUGGCUGGACUCUGCUGGCAGACCUUCUCCAAUUCCUUAUCUUCUUUCCAUGGAUGGUUCUCAGUUCCGUGUUCUACGCACUCCUUAUGUUCCAGUGGUUCUUCAUUGGCCUGACGUCCUCGGUCAGCUGGCUUUUCCUGCAGAUUGUGCUCUACUUUGUGCAUGUGAUUUUAAUGGUCACUAUUCUCUGCGUGCUGGCUGUGUUCCGGUCCGGAAUAGCAGCCAAUAAACGGCUUAAAAGCUAAACAGUUCUACUGCUUUGGCUAGCACUGAAUUGAACUGCAUAAAAUACACUGUUGGACUUUGUGUUAAUUUACUAACAUUGAAGAUAAAGAGGACCAGGCCAGGACUCUGAUUCCAGCCUCUAAUGAGGGCUUCUCAUGUGUCAGACAAGCAGCAGAAUGAGUUAUUAAGCUACAUAGCCAUAUGUCGUCAUUGCCACUGAGUUAUUCUGUUUAAGUGUUUGUGACAAAUUCUUGGAUUG
rnacentral:lncRNA from 1 species